GGGGGUGUAGCUCAGUUGGUUAGAGCGCACGCCUGAUAAGCGUGAGGUCAGUGGUUCAACUCCACUCAUCCCCACCA
rnacentral:tRNA from 1 species